GUUCAGCUGACGAGUCCCGAAUAGGACGAAACGCGCAUCCUGGAU
rnacentral:hammerhead_ribozyme from 1 species